rnacentral:lncRNA from 1 species
CUCUGCACGGCUGUGUACACCUGAGCGAGACGCUCAGUCGCUCUCUAAAGCCGCUUCUGCGGAUGACAGACACGGAGAUAAACGUGAGAGGUGGCCCACCACGACUUGCCCUCCUUUGCCCGGGUUUGCCCCUCGCUGCGGAGGCUGUUCUACAUCUGGCCCUUGGAGCAGGCCGGCUGACAGCGUGGUAAAGGAAGAUUUCUGCGGGAGGGCGGCCAGUGCAAAACAAUUCCCUGACCGGGAAUCGAACCCGGGCCGUGGCGCUUUCAGCACCGAAUCCUAGCCACUAGACAACCAUGCAGAUGCGGAAAGCUGCUUUCUCUCCCUUCUUCGACCUGAAGCGACACUUUCCUGUGCUCUAGGAGGACUUGGGUCUUGUGAGAGUCGCCCUUUGCUCCUGGAGUCGUCUCACAAGGCCGUUCACUCCCUGCUUUCUUCAAAAAAAGAACCUGCAGGCGACACACCAAGGACUCCACGAGGGAGUCCUGAGUACUGGAGCGAGUUGCGGCCACGCGGCCGCAGCUCACCACUGGCCUAGAGAUGCCCUUUGCGAGGCGGCAGCAACUGACAAGAUGGUCGCGGGUCGCCGGGUCCGGAGCCGCCCACCAGGUUGCCAGGAGGAGGCGGGAGCGGGGAGGCGCCCGAGGUGAGACAGGGGCACCCUCUGCAUCAUAAAGGACCCAGACCCCGGCACCCUCAACAUCAUAAGGAAUCAGACGGAUGCGGAAACCGAGACGGGCUGGAUAGGAAACUCUUUCCAGGAAGGCUCCGGGGCACUCAACUGGUCUCCAACCUUCCCCUGCAACCUGUGACGCCUGCCAUUUUCCCAUUUUAGGCGAUGGCAACGCAACCCCUCCGUUUGCUCUGGGCAAAACUUCGAGAGUUCCCUCUGAAGCUGGAGCUUUUUCCUCAGAUCCAAGAUCCAAUUGGUCACCAAUUCGUGAUUUCCGUCGGCCAAGUGCGUGGGCAUUGAUCUACACGCGAGUUUCUCCACCUCUGCCGAAUGGCUACUUCGGGGUGGGGGAGGGGCCCUCCCGCCGUGGAUUGCAAGGUGUUUAGCAGCAUCUGUCUCCUCCGCUGACUAGACACAUGCCAGGGGGAUAACAUUCUCCCUCCCGCUUCCCCCAGCCGCGGCCUAGUGUCCCAGCGGGGUUGGGAGAGGCAUGUGAGGGCGAAGUUGCCCCCUGUUGAGAACCAUUGCUGCGCGUAGUCCUUCUCUCUGAACUUGUGCAGAGGACUCUCCAGGUGAAGGCUCAAGGGUGGAUCCAGCUCGAGACACCCUCGCUCCCCCUCACAGUCGGACCUUAGGAUUUAGGCUUUAACAUCUCCACAUCAUGAGAUUCGAAACCUUUAGGUCUUGUCUUCCGUUCUGUCCUCCAAAUCGGCCUCUUCCGAGCCUGUUGACCAGGGCCAGCCGGGCAGAGGGCUGGGCUCGCUCAACGAGGCUCCUCUCGCACCUCCUGGAGCUUCAGGCUUCUUUCCGUUGCAGAGAAGCUUUAUGGGCCAAUUCGUUCGGCAUCCCCGGGGGCAGGUGCGCGGUGCGCGGGGAAGAAGAGGAUUUGACUGCGGUUCUCCACCCCCGGCGCCCAACCUCCACCCCGGUGCGCGCGCUCUUCCAGGCUCCUGCUGGUCCCACUUGCCAGGAGUUAGGUCUCAGGUCAGCCUGAGCUCCUGAGACGCCCAGGCCCGGAAAGACACGUAGGGGAAACCAUCUGCUCACUUCUGUCCUGUCCGGAAGGGAUCCCUUUCUGACGGGAAAGAAAGGCGCUAAACAAGCACUGGCCUUGAGAUAAGCAAUGCUGAAGCACUUGCAGCUCACCUAUUACCAUAAACUGACUGAGCCCUCCCUACACAAGCCGUAACUACUGCUUUGAUUGGACAAGAGACUGAUUUCAGUAGUUUUCUCUUGAUAAGAGACCACUGGCCGUGGGCGGGUUCUGGACAGUUUACAGAAGCUAUGCACUUGAUUGCCUUUGUGUCCCUGCUUCACCUUUUGAAGCAUAGGGCCUAAUUAUAAUGUAUUUAAAUGUUGUCUCCACCCCAAAGUGAACAUGGGUUGCAUGUAACAGGCAUGUUUACUCAGCAUGCAUGCAGCAGGAUCCCUUCACAAAUAUUCAGAGCUCCCCCUAUUCCCUGUUGAAUAUGUAUAUGUGGCCAGCCAGAUCAACGUAAAUCACUAUUCGCCCUCCCCUCCCUGGAAACCUACUUUUCGGGUUUCAGCAGGAAGCUAUGCCUCCCAGUCUGUCAGAAUGGCCACUUGCAGGCUGUAACCCUUUAUAAAAAAAUAAAAUCUCCUUUCUAAAUUUA